rnacentral:rRNA from 1 species
CUACGGGGGGCUGCAGUGAGGAAUAUUGCACAAUGGGGGGAACCCUGAUGCAGCAACGCCGCGUGGAGGAUGACGCAUUUCGGUGUGUAAACUCCUUUUAUAUGUCAAGAAAAUGACGGUAGCAUAUGAAUAAGCACCGGCUAACUCCGUGCCAGCAGCCGCGGUAAUAGCGGAGGGUGCAAGCGUUACUCGGAAUCACUGGGCGUAAAGGACGCGUAGGCGGGUUGGAAAGUCAGGUGUGAAAUCCUACAGCUUAACUGUAGAACUGCACUUGAAACUUCUAAUCUAGAGUAUGGGAGGGGGAGAUGGAAUUAGUGGUGUAGGGGUAAAAUCCGUAGAUAUCACUAGGAAUACCUAAAGCGAAGGCGAUCUCCUGGAACAUUACUGACGCUAAGGCGUGAAAGCGUGGGGAGCAAACAGGAUUAGAUACCCUAGUAGUC